rnacentral:rRNA from 1 species
GACGAACGCUGGCGGCGUGCUUAACACAUGCAAGUCGAACGGAAAGGCCCUGCUUUUGUGGGGUGCUCGAGUGGCGAACGGGUGAGUAACACGUGAGUAACCUGCCCUUGACUUUGGGAUAACUCCAGGAAACUGGGGCUAAUACCGGAUAUGAGCUCCUGCUCCAUGGUGGGGGUUGGAAAGUUUCGGCGGUUGGGGAUGGACUCGCGGCUUAUCAGCUUGUUGGUGGGGUAGUGGCUUACCAAGGCUUUGACGGGUAGCCGGCCUGAGAGGGUGACCGGCCACAUUGGGACUGAGAUACGGCCCAGACUCCUACGGGAGGCAGCAGUGGGGAAUAUUGCACAAUGGGCGGAAGCCUGAUGCAGCAACGCCGCGUGCGGGAUGACGGCCUUCGGGUUGUAAACCGCUUUCGCCUGUGACGAAGCGUGAGUGACGGUAAUGGGUAAAGAAGCACCGGCUAACUACGUG